ensembl:processed_transcript Gm15832 predicted gene 15832
UUCAAGCCUGCUUCGGGCUGUGUAGCCAGACUGCUACAAAGGGGUUAAGAGAGAGAGAGAGAGAGAGAGAGCAAGAGAGAGAGAGGGAGAGCACGCGCGAGAGCGAGAGCGAGCAUUCAGCUGGCUUGAGCUGUGUAGUCUGCAGAGACUUCAGAACCACACAUUCCUUCUUAUGUGGAAUUGUGAAAAGAACACUAGAUGAUUUUAUGAUUUACAUUUCUACUUUUAUUGCCUAAUUUCUUUUCACACUUGGAAGGAGAAGGGAAUUUAUCCAUGUUUUUCUACAAACUAAAAAAAAAAAAAAAAAAAAACCUGGCAAAAAAUGCCAUAUUGCAUGUUAAAAAAAGCAUUAAAAUAUGGAUUCAUUAAGAAAAUCAAGUAGGCAUACAGUAAUGUCUUUAAAUGAUUAGUAUAUUUUGGUGGAUUUGAUCUUUACAAUUAAAAAUACUUAAUUAAAAGUUUGAUUCUGUUGUUGUUAGACUAAAAUAACAUUUUCCUAAAGAGAUUUUAAGCCGAUUCAAUACUGUGACCUUUUAUCCUUCUUUUCUGUUUAAUGUUCUCGCUGGUGAAAGUCUUUGAAGACUGUUGUCUAAAUUCUGUAUAGUGCUUAGAUACAUACUUUGAAGAGCAAGGAGUCCAUUGUUGUUGAUUCUAAACUUGUGUUGUAUGUCUACUUUGUAGACAAAAAUAAAUGCUUAUUGACAAAAAUUUUUCUAUGUAACAAAUUUUAUUUAGCAUAAUCAGCUCCAACAACCAGCAUAAAAAGUUUACAGAGAACAGAAAGUACAUUAAUGUAAGCUAGUCUUUACAAAAAGGGGAAAAAUAUGUUCUUGAUCAAAAUAGUUUACACUUCAGUGAUAAACUGAGAAUGUUUUUUAAAGGGGACUUUAUGUGUAUGGGUACUUUGCCUGUAUGUACAUCUGCGCGUCAUCUACAAGCCUAAUGCCAAGGGAGGCCAGAAAGAGUAUCAGAUCUGCUGGAACUGGAGUGUGAGAGGCUGGUGAACUGCCGUGUGGUUACCAGGCAUUGAACCUGAGUUCUCUAGGAAAGCUGCCAGUGCUUUUAGCCACUGAACCAUCUCUCCAGCCCAAAAAAGCUUUAAGAAGUUGGUCUCUGCCUGACAGCAGAAGUCAGUAGAGGUCACUGUUCCGUGUGUUACCUAUGCAUUAGUGCCCUCAGCUGGAACUGCCUACAGGACAGGAGACAGACACAGUCAGGAACACAUCAGCUCUGUCACUCUACCCGUGAAGGCUUCUUCUGCCUAGUAAAAGAUGUGUCUUCAUAGCAUGAAGUUGGGGAUAAAUUCAUCUUUCUCAGAUCUAUUUUCCAUCUUCUCCAGGGCAGAGCUUAGUUCCUCGUCUUUCUUCACAAGUUUGUAUGUCAGCUACUUCUUGAUCUAAAUGAGACCGUUCCUUCUAGUUUAACUAGCUGUGACCCAUUUUCUCCAUCUGCCAUCUUUGUCACUGACUGCCGAGAGAUGCUCCGAUCGUGUCCUCACGGAUUGUUUUGUCACCUCUGGGACCAAGAGUAGUCACAGGAGCCUUGAGAAGCCUUUCCAGCAGUGAGAUCACUUCAGACUAAGCAGUGAUGUGAAGACUGGAGGUAGUGUCCAUGACACAGAACUGACACGGAAGUUGUUUGCUGUGGUUCCUGCUCUCCUGGCUUUCACUCAGCAGUACUGACUUUGGCUCGCCCAGCAGAGAACUGGAACUGUGAGCACAUGGUCUCACUCACUUUGCAGGUGAUUCGAAGACUUAAGUUGGAUAAAAAACUUCGAUGAAGUUAUAACCUUUAUUAAACUCAAUUAAUAAACUUAAAAGUUGAUUGUGGUUA